UAGCAGAGGGUGCAAGCGUUUGUUCGGAAGUUAUUGGGCGUAAAGCGCACGUAGGUGGCUGGGUAAGUUGGAUGUGAAAUCCCCGGGCUUAACUUGGGAAUUGCAUUCAAGACUGACCUUGUAGAGUGUGGAAAGAGGGAAGCGGAAUUGCCAGGUGGAGCGGUGAAAUGCGUAGAUAUCUGGAGGAACAUCAGGUGGCGAAGGCGGCUUCCUGGUCCAACACUGACACUGAGGUGCGAAAGCGUGGGGAGCAAACAGG
rnacentral:rRNA from 1 species